CCUACGGGAGGCAGCAGUGAGGAAUAUUGGUCAAUGGACGAGAGUCUGAACCAGCCAAGUAGCGUGAAGGAUGACUGCCCUAUGGGUUGUAAACUUCUUUUAUAUGGGAAUAAAACGUUCCACGUGUGGGAUUUUGUCUGUACCAUCUGAAUAUGGAUCGGCUAACUCCGUGCCAGCAGCCGCGGUAAUACGGAGGAUCCGAGCGUUAUCCGGAUUUAUUGGGUUUAAAGGGAGCGUAGGUGGAUUGUUAAGUCAGUUGUGAAAGUUUGCGGCUCAACCGUAAAAUUGCAGUUGAAACUGGCAGUCUUGAGUACAGUAGAGGUGGGCGGAAUUCGUGGUGUAGCGGUGAAAUGCUUAGAUAUCACGAAGAACUCCGAUUGCGAAGGCAGUUCACUGGACUGCAACUGACACUGAGGCUCGAAAGUGUGGGUAUCAAACAGGAUUAGAUACCCCAGUAGUC
rnacentral:rRNA from 1 species